AACUUGGUAGCCGCCACAUACCCACCCCCACGUCCUUUCGCCAUUCCACAUGAAUGCGCGAACCACGCGCGAUGGCGUGGCGGAGGUGUUUGAGCGGGAUCGAGUGGCGCUCAUCAUGCAGCAGGCACUCGCUCAUCGUUACUCCCAUCCGCUGUCGUCGCCGCUCUUUGAUGGCGUGCAUGACGGUCACCUUGUGGACUCUGAGGGCUACGGUACCGCUACAUCCGAUAUGGCCGCCAAGUCGCCCUCCUCUCCACCUCGCUUGACAUGUCCGUUGCACUAUACGCUGCGCCGAUGCUCUCGCACCGAGUAUUAUCUUCGUUUUACUCCACCCAUUUCUGACACGACAGGGUUCAUGGAGUCGAGCACGGCGGGGGGCUCUCCCUCUGUGUCGACGCAGUGGCAGCCGCGGGACGACGAAGCCUCUGUAGCGACUGCCGUGGCCGCAGAGUGCUGGCGUCACGCCGCCUUCACGGCACUGACGCAGAGAGACCUGCGCCGACUGUGCGGACUGCCCGAGGAAACCGGGCCCGGCACCAACGGACACCGGCACGAGCCCACACCGUCGCCGCCUUCUCUUUCCGCGACGCCGGUGACGUCGCAUCCCCGUCGCUCCUCUCCGCCUCUCGUGACUCACCAUGAGUUUUUUGAGAUGCCGUCCCGGUGGGUCAUGCAGAGCCUCGGCGAGGUGGAUCAGCACACUUUUCACAGUUACGCGGAAUGGGAUUGCCGGCGCCUUGUCACUCCACUCGAUGUCGGGGCCACCGUCGUGAAGCAGGCAGUGGGAGCGGAGGCAGUAGUCAGAGGGGCGGCUGCCCCCGCUCCUGGCGGUGAUCAGACUGCCUCCCCCGGAGGUCCGGCAGCAUCGCUGUAUUCGCCGGCGCAGAUGAUGACAGAGAGAGGUGGUGCCGCGCCACCAUCGUCCUCGUAUCUGAGUCGCACGUCUGCGUCCUCGUCGGAGGCGGAGCAUAUGCUGCGCCGUCAAGAGCGUUUCCGUGUGCGUUCAACGGCAGCUAUGGCGCGCGGGGCAUACUGGGUAGACGUCGUGCCGCUCACGGCGGAGGAAGAGUGUGAUAGGAGGGCGAUAAGAGUAACGGCAAGCACAGACACUGCGAUUUCUGCCGUUGCCGACACCGAGAACAAUAGCAUCACCUGUGAGCGCGUCGACCGCGAUGCGUUGCUGCUGCACCCUCCUGUGGCGCUUUAUGUGGACCCACUUCUGCCCUGUGACGAGCUCUACAGCGAACGCGGCGUCAACACCAGCGUCUAUGUCUUCUUCCUGCGCGCACUUCAGCAGCAGCAACACAAGCUCGCAGACGGUCGCAUCUCGUGCGAUACCGCCGCCUUCGACAGCAGCAGUGACUGUAGCGGUAUGCGCCCCGGCAAAGGAACCGGUAUGCCUGACCCACCCGAGGCCGCAGCGGCGCUGGCCCUACAGCUUGCCUUGUGCGCACGACAGCGGCGUCUGGAGUUAGCGGGACGCAUUCAUCGAGCAAUCAACGCCGCCAAUCCCUCAUCUGUGCUGCUCCGCGUACCCUCGAGAGAAGUCGCGACGUGUGCCAUAGAAGGCGCCGCUGUCACCUCUGCUAAGUGCUCGGGGGUUGCCGCACCUGCGGUGCUGCUGCAGGUGCGCGUGGACCAUGCUCGAGGAUCUGUGCAGCUUCGCGCGCUGACACUGGAGGAUUCGGCGGACAGUACCAGUGACCUGCUAGGAAGCGAGUGGCAUGCAAGCGGACGUGCGGCAACACCCACCUCGUCAGCUGCGGCACGACCCCGUCUGCAAGACACGGAAACCUCCAGUGCUGCCUACACCAAGCGGAGAAGAGAGGACGCGGAAGAAGGCGAGGAGGCAGUGCGAUACAGCCACAAUGCUGCUACAACCAAGGCGACGCGGUCGCCAACAGUGGAGGUGCUGCUCCGCUCUGCUUGGAAACUGGCUGCUCUUUACGAUAUAACGCGUUCCGCGUCGCUGGAGCCGCAACAGGCAGACCAGGGCGCCAGCGACGAAAGCAGAGCGGCGAGGGUGAAAAGCCCCGAAGGGGCGCAGAUGGGCGCAUCUCUGCCGGCUUCAUUGCCUUCGUGGCUCGCGACGUCGCUCUUGAGACGCCUUACAGGCAGGCCGCAAGCGGUUUCUGGCCUAACUGCAUCAGGAACCACUGAUGUCCACAGUGAAGCGUCAUGCGACUCUAGCUGGAGCACUGUGGCGCUUCAUCGAGGGGACGCAUGCUUACCGUCGACAAUGCCGCUUGCCGGUGAAAGGGUCCCUUGCCUACCCCUGUCUGCUGGACGGAUCGACCACCCAAGCGCCUCUUCGCCUCCUCUGUUGUUGGCCGAUGACGAUCCACCAACUGGUGUUCCCGCGGCUACCGCCAUAGCCAGCACCACCCUGACCACGGCCACAACUACAGCCGAAGAGCGCAUCUUUCUUGGGCGACUUUUUAUCCUUCUCCUUCGGUAUCGUACGCUCUUCGGGGGGCAUGGGUACAACCAAGGCCCACAGGCUGCUUUGCCGCCCCCGGUGAUGGAGCACCUUGCCGCCGCCUUCGAGAUCAGCGCCGAGGCGUUCGCGUCACCGCUGAACGCGCAGCUGCCUCAGUUUGGCUCUCUGUUCCCCGACACAGACAGGCACUUUGGAAGCAUGGGGUCCUUCUUUGACCUUCAGUUCGGCGGUGCCAGCGGCGACUGUCACGCUCAGCGAGCGCCCAUACCAACCGACUGCGCUGCACCGCCGCCAGGGUGCCAUGUCGAAGUCAACCCGCCCUUCGACACGACUCUUCUUCGCCACAUGGGGACGCAUCUGCUGUCGUGUCUGAAGCGUGCGCAGGAGUCGAUGCAGAGCCUUCUGUUCCUCAUUGUGCUGCCCAGCCAUGACUUGACGGACGCGGAGAAGGCGGCGGCAGCGGUGGCAAGCACGCGGCUGCCAACGCAAGCGGCCACCGCGAAGCGCCUCGGCAGCGACCAGUUGCGUGGCAGCAGUGCUGCCACUGCUUCGGUGCCACCGAGUACCGAACGCACGCUGCGUGAGUCGCCGUACUGCCUUGGCCACGUCCUCUGCGCGGCGGCGGAGUCGGCCUACGUGGACGGCCACCAGCACCUCCUGCAAAGUCCCUUCUUUCGUAUCGAGACGCCGACGCGGCUGAUUCUUCUCGGCAACACGGUGGCUCGCACGCGCUUCCCUCACGCAGCCGCGCAGCUGGAGUCGGUGCGUGUGGCUUGGAAGGAGCUGACGGAGAGCGCGCUGCUGCAGCAGCGUUGAGGCGGUGCGCUGCGCACGUGCUCUGCUAGUGCGCAUUGAACCCUGGCGUGAGCAUCUCCCACUCUUGUGCGUGUAGGUGUCUGGCUGCGUUUGCGUCUCUCUUAGGGCUUCUUUCAUGGUGUCUGGGAGUGCGGAGCUGUUUUACGCGACACGCAACGGCGGGCCUACACACCUCACGAGGAGUGCUGAGGAGAAGCACACUUGCAGUGGAUGGGAGUAGGCACCGGCUGCGCUUCGACAUUAGGAGAGGAUGCGGUCUCACGGUGUGUGCACCUCACACUGUGUGUGUGUGUGUGUGUGUGUGUGUGUCUGCGCGCACGAUUGGGAAGCGCGGAAGAGGAUCGCGGAAGGGAUGGGAGCGAGGAGGAGGAAAAAGGGCGAAUGCGCGCGAUAAUGGGCGUGCGCUCUCAAGCCUACGCGAUGUCGGCGGGUUUCCGACGUCGCUUGUCUCCCGCCUCUCAACCAUCCGCGAAGGGCCGCUUUUCUUUCGUGUGCUGUGCUCAGCCCAUCCGCGUCCCUGGCAGUGCGGAGUCACCUCUGCGUGCACGGUGCAAGGGUCCGGCGCCCACGCUUUGUGGGCGAACAAAGAGCCUUCACAACCUGCCCUCGGGCACGGUCGCGGGACUCCCUGGCGCCGGCGGACGGGUGUGGGAUGUCGCAGUGCCGGAGGGACAUGCGGUCAUGACCACGUUGGGAGCAGCUCCCUACGAAUGGUGUCGACGAUGGAACAAGUAUGCGCAUCCGCCAAGUGCUUUUCUGCCUUUGCUGCGUUUCGGUGAUGUUGAGGGUAAUCCGCGGGCCUCGCCUGCGCUCUCUGCAGUGGGCUGAACGGUAUCCAGCGGUGUGUGGUGCGUGUGCUUGGCCGGUGUCCGUUACAUAGACGUGGGCGCAACAGGGGUGGGUGCGCUGCGGGCGGUGCAUGCGUGCGUGUUGGUUGACCUGUUCAUGGUUGAAGGAUACGUUGAAAGAGAAAGAAAGAGGCCUUCUCUGUGUUAGUCAAGGGGCAGGACCGCGUGCCUGCUACUUCUGCACGGCGCCUGCACUCUUGUGUGUUGAAGCUUACGUUCGUGACCGUCUAAGCCAUUGAGCCGGACUGCAGAGAACGUCGCACCUCGCCGCAAGCAGCAGCCAUCCGCCCCGUCCCGCUCCUCUGUGACGCGAAAAGUGACCCUCUUAGCACCACUCUCCUACCUUCUGCCUCCUUGGACAACCCUGCCCUAUCUGCGCGUUGCGCACGCGCUCAG
rnacentral:misc_RNA from 1 species